GACGAACGCUGGCGGCGUGCUUAACACAUGCAAGUCGAACGAUGAAGCCGGAGCUUGCUCUGGUGAAUUAGUGGCGAACGGGUGAGUAACACGUGAGUAACCUGCCCUUGACUCUGGGAUAACUGCGGGAAACUGUAGCUAAUACCGGAUACGACCCUCGGCGGCAUCGCCAGGGGGUGGAAAGAAUUUCGGUCAAGGAUGGACUCGCGGCCUAUCAGCUAGUUGGUGAGGUAACGGCUCACCAAGGCGACGACGGGUAGCCGGCCUGAGAGGGUGACCGGCCACACUGGAACUGAGACACGGCCCAGACUCCUACGGGAGGCAGCAGUGGGGAAUAUUGCACAAUGGGCGCAAGCCUGAUGCAGCAACGCCGCGUGAGGGAUGACGGCCUUCGGGUUGUAAACCUCUUUUAGUAGGGAAGAAGCGAAAGUGACGGUACCUGCAGAAAAAGCACCGGCUAACUACGUGCCAGCCGCCGCCGUAA
rnacentral:rRNA from 1 species